rnacentral:rRNA from 1 species
UACGAAGGGGGCUAGCGUUGCUCGGAAUUACUGGGCGUAAAGCGCACGUAGGCGGCUUGUUAAGUCGGAGGUGAAAUCCUGGAGCUCAACUCCAGAACUGCCUUCGAUACUGGCGAGCUCGAGUCCGGGAGAGGUGAGUGGAACUGCGAGUGUAGAGGUGAAAUGCGUUGAUAUUUAGGGGAACACCAAAAGCGAAGGCAGGAAACUGGACCAUACCUGACACUGAAACACGAAAGCGUGGGUAGCGAAUGGG